AGAUAGCGCCUACGGAGGGCAGCAGUAGGGAAUUUUCGUCAAUGGGGGCAACCCUGAACGAGCAAUGCCGCGUGAGCGAAGAAGGUCUUCGGAUUGUAAAGCUCUGUUGCCGGGGAAAAAGGAAGGAAAGAGGAAAUGCUUUUCUUUGGAUGGUACCCGGCCAGAAAGUCACGGCUAACUACGUGCC
rnacentral:rRNA from 1 species